rnacentral:rRNA from 1 species
GACGAACGCUGGCGGCGUGCUUAACACAUGCAGGUCGAACGGAAAGGCCCUGCUUUUGUGGGGUGCUCGAGUGGCGAACGGGUGAGUAACACGUGAGUAACCUGCCCUUGACUUUGGGAUAACUUCAGGAAAUUGGGGCUAAUACCGGAUAGGAGCUCCUGCUGCAUGGUGGGGGUUGGAAAGUUUCGGCGGUUGGGGAUGGACUCGCGGCUUAUCAGCUUGUUGGUGGGGUAGUGGCUUACCAAGGCUUUGACGGGUAGCCGGCCUGAGAGGGUGACCGGCCACAUUGGGACUGAGAUACGGCCCAGACUCCUACGGGAGGCAGCAGUGGGGAAUAUUGCACAAUGGGCGGAAGCCUGAUGCAGCAACGCCGCGUGCGGGAUGACGGCCUUCGGGUUGUAAACCGCUUUCGCCUGUGACGAAGCGUGAGUGACGGUAACGGGUAAAGAAGCACCGGCUAACUACGUG